GUCAUCCUUUUUGUGCUCUCCUGUGUUGGUCUAUUUUGGGAUUCUGUGUACAAUAUCUUUUUUUUCUGUAUGAGAGUUAACUGCAGUUUGUCAGGUUACUGGUUGACGAUGCUCUUGUUCAUGUUACCAAGGAUGAUGUAGGGAGUAGUUGUUUACGCAUGUUGGGUUUGGGUGGCUAAUGCUCAGCCCCUAUGGUGUGUGUAUGUGCGUGUGUGUAUUAGGUUUGGGUGGCUAAUGCCCAGCCCGUAUGGUGUGUGUAUGUGCGUGUGUGUAAUACUGAAAAAUUCUAUAUUGUUUGCAUUUACUAUUCAUUUGGAUGUAUGUAAGCUUGGGAACAUAAUUGAAUAUUUG
rnacentral:lncRNA from 1 species